CUUCGCCGCACAUAACCCAACGAAUUCCGGAACGUUCCACCUGACGCUGCUGUGAAAGGUGAAAUAAUUAAAAAGGUCAGCUGGCAGCGGGCACCUGUGAGAUCGUCACCCUGGACCGGGACAGCAGUCAGCCGCGGAGAACCAUCGCAAGGCAGACCGCCAGGUGCGCGUGCAAGAAAGGCCAGAUCGCCGGAACGACAAGAGCCCGGCCAGCGUGUGUGGACGCUCGGAUCGUCAGGACCAAGCAGUGGUGCGAGAUGCUUCCCUGUCUGGAGGACGAAGGCUGCGACCUGCUGGUGAACAGAUCGGGGUGGACCUGCACGCAGCCCGGCGGCAGGGUCAAAACCACGACGGCUCUAUGACGCGGCCGGAGUUCCCCCUCAAAACCCGUUCAUUGCUGAGCCGGACAGACAUCCAAAACUUCAAGAACAGACUCGAACACAAACGAUGCAGCACCAUCAGGUCUCCUAACAGCAGUGGUGACGGACCCCCCACCCCCCGCCGGGGCGCGGACUCUGCAGAAGCCACUUCCUGCCCUGGCCCCGCCCACUGCUGUAGAUAAACCUGCUGUCUGUCAUCGGCCCAACGCGCUUGUCUGUCUGCCUGUCUGUCCGCUUUGAACUGGGCGGCGCCCCCUAGUGCCGCGCAGGACCCCGCAUCGGACGCACUGGGAGGCGUGGCGACCGGCGAUGGACGUCCCCCCUUCCUCUCCGUAAACCCCGCCCCCUCUGGACUGGCCCGUGACCCCGGGGACCCCCCGGGGCGCCGAACUGACCUUCCGCCGGAGUCCUUUUUUUUUUUUUUUUUUUUUUACAGACCAAAGAGCAAAAAGUAAAAGCGCAGACGGGAGGAACCCGGCGGAAAAAGUGACAUUUCUGCUGACCUGUGCAACACGAGACUAACAGCCCCCCCCUCCCCCCCGGAAGAACCUUUAACACUUCGCUGGCAUUUCUCCUUCUUUCUUGUACCGGGACGCCGGAGUUAUAGGAACUGUAUACAUAGAUGUAUAAAAAAACCAGAAAAUCACACGUGCAUUUUUUUCCAGUAGCAGCAUUUGGGACGAUUUGCAAUAAGCAUGGUUGGUUUGAGGAAAAAAAAAAAAAAGUUAAAUCAUUUAUCGGACAUUAAGCGAGAGUAUUAAAAACUGUCCUUUCUGUUUGCCAGAAGAGAGAGAAGGAGGGAACGAGAAAAAAAAAAAAAGUGUCAUUAAAUGUAUUUUGAAAGGUCUAAAAAAAAAAAAAAAGUUAUAUAUUUCACAGUUUUAUAUGUUGUAUCUUUGUAGAGAACUUUACUUAACAUGAAUAAUGUGGUGAAAUGGCAGUUCUAGGACGUGGAUAGGCUCAGCUUGUUUUUCGGCCCAUCGCCGCUCGACCGGCCCUCCUCUCGCGCCCACGUCGGUCGCGUGGGGCCGCGCCAUCUGCUACUCGCUGUUGUAGUUGUACAAACCGGUGUGGAAAUCUCACCGCUCAUUUUACUCUUUGAUCGAAUUUAUUUAUUUUCAUUAUUUUUAACAUUUUUAUUUUUUUGUGCUUGUGUUUGUUGCACAGUGUCGACCUCGGAGCGACGGCGUCGGGACGGGGACGGGGGGUUAGAUGAAAGACCUCGAGAAAAAAAAAAACAAAUCAUUUACAUGAAAUACUUUUUUAUUCUGAAAUAUUUUAAGAAUAAAUCGAUUAUGUGAAAAAAGCA
ensembl:lncRNA